rnacentral:rRNA from 1 species
UUUUCUAUUUAAUAGCGGAGGAAAAGAAACUAACAAGGAUUCCCCUAGUAACGGCGAGUGAAGCGGGAUGAGCUCAAAUUUAAAAUCUGGCGGCCUCAGGUCGUCCGAGUUGUAGUCUAGAGAAUCGUUUUCCGCGUUGGCCUGUGUACAAGUCCCUUGGAACAGGGCGUCAUAGAGGGUGAGAAUCCCGUCCUUGACACAGAUUACCAAUGCUUUGUGAUGCGAUCUCGAAGAGUCGAGUUGUUUGGGAAUGCAGCUCAAAAUGGGUGGUAAAUUCCAUCUAAAGCUAAAUAUUGGCGAGAGACCGAUAGCGAACAAGUACCGUGAGGGAAAGAUGAAAAGCACUUUGGAAAGAGAGUUAAACAGUACGUGAAAUUGUUAAAAGGGAAACGAUUGAAGUCAGUCAUGCUUUCCGAGACUCAGCCGAUUCUGUCGGUGUACUUCUCGGUUGGCAGGCCAGCAUCAGUUUCGAUCUGUGGAAAAGGUUGGAGGGAACGUGGCAUCCUCGGAUGUGUUAUAGCCCUUCUUCGAAUACAUAGAGCGGGACUGAGGAACGCAGCGCGCCUUUUAUUAGGUUGGCCCUCGGGUACAUACGCGCUUAGGAGCCUGCC